rnacentral:rRNA from 1 species
GUGGGGAAUCUUGCGCAAUGGGCGAAAGCCUGACGCAGCCAUGCCGCGUGAAUGAUGAAGGUCUUAGGAUUGUAAAAUUCUUUCACCGGGGACGAUAAUGACGGUACCCGGAGAAGAAGCCCCGGCUAACUUCGUGCCAGCAGCCGCGGUAAUACGAAGGGGGCUAGCGUUGCUCGGAAUUACUGGGCGUAAAGGGCGCGUAGGCGGACAGCUUAGUCAGAGGUGAAAGCCCAGGGCUCAACCUUGGAAUUGCCUUUGAUACUGGCUGUCUUGAGUACGGGAGAGGUGAGUGGAACUCCGGGUGUAGAGGUGAAAUUCGUAGAUAUUCGGAAGAACACCAGUGGCGAAGGCGACUCACUGGCCCGUUACUGACGCUGAGGCGCGAAAGCGUGGGGAGCAAACAGGAUUAGAAACCCCGGUAGUCC